rnacentral:rRNA from 1 species
GACGAACGCUGGCGGCGUGCCUAAUACAUGCAAGUCGAACGCAGUGGGGACGGGUGAGUAACACGUGGGUAACCUCCCAUCAGAGGGGAUAACACUUGGAAACAGGUGCUAAACCGAUACUGAUUGAUGGACCCGCGGGGGAUUAGCUAGUUCGUGUGGUAACGGCGCACCAAGGCCACGAUGCAUAGCGGGCCUGAGAGGGUGACCAGCCACACUGGGACUGAGACACGGUCCAGACUCCUACGGGAGGCAGCAGUAGGGAAUCGUGCGCAAUGGGAGCAAGUCUGACGGAGCAACGCCGCGUGAGUGAAGAAGGUUUUCGGGUCGUAAAACACUUUUGUCAGAGAAGCGUUAUCUAACCAGAAAGCCACGGCUAACUACGUGCCAGCAGCCGCGGUAAUUC